UUAACCCUAGCACCUAUUCCGUUCGUCCUCCAGAAGCUUCGCUGCCUCCAUCUACUCCGCGCAGUCGCAGUCGCCGUCUCCAACUCCAGCUCCUCUCCUCUACCCAUUGCUCCCGUCUUUGAAGGUAGGGGGCGGGGCCUGGGGGACAUACCGGAGGAUCUGUGUUCCGCUACCUAACGCUGCCGGAGAUAUGCAAUUGGCGCAGCGCAUUCCACGGCACCCCUUCGUCGGAUGCGGUUUGGGAAUCCAAGCUUCCAUGUGAUUACCACCAGCUGCUCGAUUUCCUCUGUUUCUGUAUGAAGAAUAUCUACUUACUCCUUCUGUUCGACGACAGAAACAAGGCACGUUAAUUAAUUUCCGAUGCAUCUCGAAAUAAAAUUCUUGUGUGGAGAUUGCAUUUACAAUGGCGAAGAGGCAUAAGAAGCGUGGGAUUAUACAAUUCUUGAUGAAGUAGGCUUAAUGUUCUGUACGUCAUGCCCUUGGUUUUGUAUGCAACAAGUACUAAUUCCAUAUGAGUUCAAGUACUAAUUUUGUACUCUUCCAUUUUGAAUGCAUAAUUCUAUUAGGGGCAGCUCACAUUAAUCAGGUGAGCAUAUCAAUGAGGUAUUUGGAUCGAGUUUUAGGUGUGUUGCUACAUCACAAGCAAGUCAUCAUUCGUUCUCUUCAUUUUUCAAGAUGGAAUUUUAGUGAAGGGUGUCCAAGCCAGCAACAUACUUCUUGAUGAUAAAUAUGAAGUUAAUAUGGGAAGUCUCAGUGAGGUUUGUCCUCAAGAAAGUGAAACUCAUCAAAUGAGGAUCUCAAAGUUGCUCCGUUUGCCCAGAGGUAUAUGUGAAAGCAUUGGGAAAGGGUUCUCUGUUGCACCAUUGCACCAUAUCAGCGGAUUUUAAGGAAAAGACUUCAGCAUAUCGGUGGAUUCAAAUUUUAAGACCCAGAUAGAGUGUCUUCCUUCUCGCCGAACUCUAAUUUACUCGGUGUCACGGUCACUUCCACGCCGUCCGGUGCGUGCACUGUCACCUCGUACACGGCAUUCGCCUCUUUCCCGACAUUUUUUACACUUCGUUUAUACUUCACUACGCUUUUAAAGCCGUAGAAGGCAACCGAGAAUGACGGGUAGUUCAAAUCCCCCGGAGUUUUCAGCCCGACUGCGUUGCAAUCCACGAUCGACGAAUCUUUUGUGAAUGCCGUAAUUUGCCGCGCAUUGUACCCGAUGCUGCACAAAAACACGACGUAGUUUUGGGUAUCGAAGCCAUAGAUCAGGCCGGGAUCCGUUGCUCAGUUUGGAUCGACGUGGCCCGAGGAUGGAUUGGACACGUCCCCGGUGGCGAGGUCCGUUAAAUUAUUCCCGUUGUUGUCAACGUUGUACGCCGUGGUCAUCAAUGCUGAUUUGAUUGCCGCCGGCGACCACUCAGGGUGGGCCUGUUUCAGCAGCGCCGCCAAGCCGCUGACGUGAGGGCACGGCAUCGACCUGCCAGAGAUGAUGUUGAAUUCGACCUCACGAUUAUUGCUGUUGAGAGACGUUGGCCAGACGUAGCCGGUCCAGCCGGCGAGAAUGUUGACUCCGGGCGCGUUCACGUCCGGCUUGAGAAUCUCGGAGGUUAGGAGGUUCGAUAGCUCGGACCGCGGCUGGAGAACGAGGCCAUGUGCGGCGACGACGGAGAUUUGCUUACAACGGUUCCCCGCGACCUGAUAGUCGCGGUGGGAUUCGGAGUUGCGCGGACAUAAGCUCGGAUUUUGUGGCCGCUGAUUUCUCCGACCAUUGUCGAGGGAAUGAAGUGCGCAUCGGCGAGGAGUUCCUCGCCGGAAUCAGCUAAAUUUUAUUAAUAAUAUUUACAAAAACGUCAUGUUGCAAACAAAUUGAAAAAUAUUUUCGAUCUUGUAAACUUAUAAUUUUGUAACGAUGGAUUGUAAAUGAUCAUAUUGCUUGCGAUAUUCGAAAUUCAAUUUUAUAUUUCGGCUUUGUUUC